UACGGGGGGAGCAAGCGUUGUUCGGAUUUACUGGGCGUAAAGGGCGCGUAGGCGGCACCGCAAGUCGACUGUGAAAUCUCCGGGCUUAACUCGGAAAGGUCAGCCGAUACUGCGGGGCUAGAGUGCAGAAGGGGCAACUGGAAUUCUCGGCUGUAGCGGUGAAAUGCGUAGAUAUCGAGAGGAACACCUGCGGCGAAGGCGGGUUGCUGGGCUGACACUGACGCUGAUGCGCGAAAGCUAGGGGAGCGAACGGG
rnacentral:rRNA from 1 species